rnacentral:rRNA from 1 species
GUAGGUGGCAAGCGUUGUCCGGAAUUAUUGGGGCGUAAAGCGCGCGCAGGCGGUUCUUUAAGUCUGAUGUGAAAGCCCACGGGCUCAACCGUGGAGGGUCAUUGGAAACUGGAGAACUUGAGUACAGAAGAGGAAAGCGGAAUUCCACGUGUAGCGGUGAAAUGCGUAGAGAUGUGGAGGAACACCAGUGGCGAAGGCGGCUUUCUGGUCUGUAACAGACGCUGAGGCGCGAAAGCGUGGGGAGCAAACAGGAUUAGAUACCCUGGUAGUCCACGCCGUAAACGAUGAGUGCUAAGUGUUAGGGGGUUUCCGCCCCUUAGUGCUGCAGCUAACGCAUUAAGCACUCCGCCUGGGGAGUACGGCCGCAAAGGCUG